rnacentral:tRNA from 1 species
GUCAGUAUGACCGAUCGGUCUAAUGCGCUGCGUUCAGAUCACAGUCCACUCUUGAGGGCGUGGGUUCGAAUCCCACUUCUGACA